rnacentral:rRNA from 1 species
GGCGACCGGCAAACGGGUGCGGAACACGUACACAACCUUCCUUUAAGUGGGGAAUAGCCCGGGGAAACCCGGAUUAAUACCCCGUAACAUAUAGAAGUGGCAUCGCUUUUAUAUUAUAGCAGCAAUGCGCUUGAAGAUGGGUGUGCGGCUGAUUAGAUAGUUGGCGGGGUAACGGCCCACCAAGUCGACGAUCAGUAACUGGUGUGAGAGCACGACCAGUCACACGGGCACUGAGACACGGGCCCGACUCCUACGGGAGGCAGCAGUAAGGAAUAUUGGUCAAUGGACGCAAGUCUGAACCAGCCAUGCCGCGUGGAGGAUGAAGGUCCUCUGGAUUGUAAACUUCUUUUAUUUGGGAAGAAAUCUAUCUUUUCUUGGAUAGUUGACGGUACCAGAUGAAUAAGCACCGGCUAACUCCGUGCCAGCAGCCGCGGUAAUACGGAGGGUGCAAGCGUUAUCCGGAUUCACUGGGUUUAAAGGGUGCGUAGGUGGGCAGGUAAGUCAGUGGUGAAAUCUCCGGGCUUAACCCGGAAACUGCCAUUGAUACUAUCUGUCUUGAAUACCCUGGAGGUGAGCGGAAUAUGUCAUGUAGCGGUGAAAUGCUUAGAUAUGACAUAGAACACCCAUUGCGAAGGCAGCUCACUACGGGAAUAUUGACACUGAGGCACGAAAGCGUGGGGAUCAAACAGGAUUAGAUACCCUGGUAGUCCACGCCCUAAACUAUGGAUACUCGACAUCAGCGAUAAACUGUUGGUGUCUGAGCGAAAGCAUUAAGUAUCCCACCUGGGAAGUACGAUCGCAAGAUUGAAACUC